AACGCACGAGACCUGCGGACCUGCGGAGGGAUCAUUACCGAGUUAGGGUAGUCACUCACUGCCCGACCUCCCAACCCUGUGUCUACCACGCUUUGUCGUUGCUUCGGCGGACCGGUUGACCAACUGGUCGUGACCGCCGGGGGCUGGCUCUGUCCCCCCUGGAGAGCGUCCGUCGAUGGCCCAACCACAAAACUCUUGUACCGAAAACGUGUCGUCUGAAUUAUAUUUGAGAAAUCAAAA
rnacentral:misc_RNA from 1 species